AUGGCUCAGAUUGAACGCUAGCGGGAUGCCUUACACAUGCAAGUCGAACGGCAGCACGGACUUCGGUCUGGUGGCGAGUGGCGAACGGGUGAGUAAUGUAUCGGAACGUGCCUAGUAGCGGGGGAUAACUACGCGAAAGCGUAGCUAAUACCGCAUACGCCCUACGGGGGAAAGCAGGGGAUCGCAAGACCUUGCACUAUUAGAGCGGCCGAUAUCGGAUUAGCUAGUUGGUGGGGUAACGGCUCACCAAGGCGACGAUCCGUAGCUGGUUUGAGAGGACGACCAGCCACACUGGGACUGAGACACGGCCCAGACUCCUACGGGAGGCAGCAGUGGGGAAUUUUGGACAAUGGGGGAAACCCUGAUCCAGCCAUCCCGCGUGUGCGAUGAAGGCCUUCGGGUUGUAAAGCACUUUUGGCAGGAAAGAAACGUCAUGGGUUAAUACCCCGUGAAACUGACGGUACCUGCAGAAUAAGCACCGGCUAACUACGUGCCAGCAGCCGCGGUAAUACGUAGGGUGCAAGCGUUAAUCGGAAUUACUGGGCGUAAAGCGUGCGCAGGCGGUUCGGAAAGAAAGAUGUGAAAUCCCAGAGCUUAACUUUGGAACUGCAUUUUUAACUACCGAGCUAGAGUGUGUCAGAGGGAGGUGGAAUUCCGCGUGUAGCAGUGAAAUGCGUAGAUAUGCGGAGGAACCACCGAUGGCGAAGGCAGCCUCCUGGGAUAAC
rnacentral:rRNA from 1 species